AACGAACGCUGGCGGCAGGCUUAACACAUGCAAGUCGAACGCCCCGCAAGGGGAGUGGCAGACGGGUGAGUAACGCGUGGGAACAUACCCUUUUCUACGGAAUAGCUCUGGGAAACUGGAAUUAAUACCGUACACGCCCUACGGGGGAAAGAUUUAUCGGGGAAGGAUUGGCCCGCGUUGGAUUAGCUAGUUGGUGGGGUAAAGGCCUACCAAGGCGACGAUCCAUAGCUGGUCUGAGAGGAUGAUCAGCCACAUUGGGACUGAGACACGGCCCAAACUCCUACGGGAGGCAGCAGUGGGGAAUAUUGGACAAUGGGCGCAAGCCUGAUCCAGCCAUGCCGCGUGAGUGAUGAAGGCCUUAGGGUUGUAAAGCUCUUUCACCGAUGAAGAUAAUGACGGUAGUCGGAGAAGAAGCCCCGGCUAACUUCGUGCCAGCCGCCGCAGUAAAAC
rnacentral:rRNA from 1 species